GUAUUCCGAAGAGUAUGUCUGUUUGAGUGUCAUGAAAUUCUCAACCCCCUUAUUUUGUAACGAGAUAGGUGAGGGCUUGGAUUAUGGCUGUUUGCUGGCUUUAAGUCGGCUCGGCUGAAAUAUACGAGCUAUCGAAUUUGAAAUAAACGAUUUGACUCGGCGUAAUAAUUGUUUCGCUGGGAACGUUUUAUUCGAGACAGUGAUGCUUCUAAUAUGGUUUUCCGUUUAAGCUUUAGACCUCAAAUCAGAUAGGACUACCCGCUGAACUUAAGCAUAUCAAUAAGCGGAGGAAAAGAAACUAACAAGGAUUCCCCUAGUAACGGCGAGUGAAGUGGGAAAAGCUCAACUUUGAAAUCUGGCAGCUUCGCUGUCCGAGUUGUAGUCUCGAGAAGUGUUUUCCGCGCUGGCACGUGUAUGAGUCUGUUGGAACACAGCGUCAUAGAGGGUGAGAACCCCGUUCACGACACGUCUACCAAUGCUUUGUGAUACACUUUCGAUGAGUCGAGUUGUUUGGGAAUGCAGCUCAAAAUGGGUGGUAAAUUCCAUCUAAAGCUAAAUAUUGGCGAGAGACCGAUAGCAAACAAGUACCGUGAGGGAAAGAUGAAAAGCACUUUGGAAAGAGAGUUAAAAGUACGUGAAAUUGUUGAAAGGGAAACGCUUGAAGUCAGACGUGCGCGGUAUUUAUACCACUGCAGGCCAGCAUCGGUUUUAUAAGCCGGAUAAAGGUUAGAGGAAGGUGGCAGUCUCGACUGUGUUAUAGCCUUUAACUGAAUACGGAAUGUGAGACCGAGGACGCAGCGC
rnacentral:rRNA from 1 species